CAGAGAGAACUUUUUGGCAGUGGCAGCUGGGUCAGAACCCAUCAGGCAGGGUUUCAAGGUCUCCCAGCAAAUCCCCUUGGGCUGGUGAGUUAAGGUUCUUGGUACAGAUGCCCCCCUGCAGGAAAUUUGGAAAGUCCCAAUCAAUCCUUCCUGAUGAGCUGGUUCUUCAGGUCAGGGGGCAUUUUAGUCCUGGGUCCAGUUAACAUGCUGUGAGAACCUGUAAGGGGGAGGGGCACAUGAGACAUACAGAGGUUCUGGUUGUAUCUGACACCUAAGAGUAAGAAACCAGGCUCGUUAUCUCCUUCUCUUUCCUUCCUUCCACCUAGAAUGAAAGCAAACAAAACUGUGUGAUCCUUCCUUUCUUCCCUCCUUCCUUUCUUUCUCUCUCUUUCUUUCUUUUGAACAAUAAUGAGAAACAGUUAAAAUGACAGGGUCCUAAGGUUACUGGGAACCCGAAAAUAUUCUUUUGUUCUUGGACUAGCAAACUUAAGGUGGAGGGAAUACUGAUUUUGACGACAGAUCUCUUUGAAUCCUAGCAGCCACUCACCAGCUACAUUGUGGUGUGACAUUCACUUUACCUCUUUGAGCAUCAAUUUUCCCAUCUGUAAAAUGGGAAUGAUGAUACCUGCCUCUCAGGAAUACCUUAAGAUUCAAGAUAAUGAAGAUAAAGCACUUAACUCAGUACCUGAUACAAUAUUUCAUUCAGAGUAGCUGUUCAAUAAAUAGCAUCUUUUAGCGAUGAUGCUGAAAUAGACAAAAUGUUCUUCAGGUAAAAUUUAACUUAAUUUUCAGCCAGUAAUUCUCUUGGUUUUGAAUGAUGUUUUUCUGCUCUUAGGUAGGAAAACUUUUGCAUAUUUGGGAAUAGAAUUGCCAGUCUGCAAAUGAACAGUUAUCUCUACAUAAAAUGUGUUAAUCAUAGUUUUUCAAAUUGAGGACAUUAUGUUGCAUUUACUUAAUGCCCUCUAUUCAUAGAUCCAUAUUUUUAGUUUUUAUUAUUUUACUAGGUGUUUUUAGCCAAUAAACAAAAAACCUUCAAGUCUAUGAAAUGGCCUUGGUCCUUGGGAACUCUAAUCCAAUGUUUCAUCAUGUUCAUUGAGAAACAGAGAAGUUACACUUUUCUCUGCAAUUCAUGCAAACACUUGAGUAGCAGUCUGAUUCGCAAGCAACUGAGUUUAGCAAAGAAUAAAUGACAAGAAACCUGCUCAUAUUACAUGAUGUGGCAUACAUGAUUCUAUGACUUCUUUGUCCCUAAAUAAUUGGAGUCGAGUCAAAAGAGAUAAUGCAUGUGAAAGCAUUUUGAAAACUGAAAGUUUUCAUUGUAAUGGAUCAUUAUUAUUCUAAUUACUACUAAUAUGAAGAACCUAAUAUAGCAUGAACCAAUUAUCAGGAUAAGAAUAUUUCUGAAGUUGUGAACAUUUGGUACCCAUUUGGUAUUUAGUUUUAUACUGUUUUGCUUUGUUCCCUAAUUGUUUCAUGAAUUUUAAUCUUAUCCCUCUACCCCAAGGAAGUUAUAAGCAUCUAUCAGCAUUCAGUCAUUUGAUACCAUUGAUUAUUUAAAAUAAUUUACUGACUGCUUACCAUGUGCCAGGCAUAGAGCUGAGCACUACAGUCAAAUCAGUGAAUAAGAUGCUUUUCUUACCCUCCAUGAGCUUUCUUCCUGGUGGAGAAGAUGAUGAAGGGAUGGCUGGAAGGCAGGUUGUGAGGGCCCUGACAGGAAUUUCAGAGCAGGAAGGGUGUGGGGCAUUGUUUGAGAUGAAACUGAAAAAAGUUUCAAUCAUCUAUUACCAUAUAACAAGACACCCCAACACUAUACACUAAAAACAAAAAGCCACUGAGUUGCUCAUGAUUCCUCAAUUGGGUCAGAGUCUGCAGGAAAUUUUAUCUCAGUUUCAGCUGGUAUUGGCCCAGGCUCUGUAGGCACAUAGCAUCACUUCUGUCACAUUCUCUUUGUCAAACAGGUUGUAGGUAAAGGGCGAGAAACUGCACAAGGACCAGGAUGCGUGUACAGGGACAGGAGGAACUGUUCAUGGCCCUGACUGCACACAGUCUAUAGAACUAUCGGUACACACUGCCAUGGAGAGCUUGGCUUUAUCUAGAAGUCUGUGGCGUAACCGCUAAAGGAGAUUUUGACGAACGGAAAAAAGAGGUCAUCUAUUUUUAGAAAGCUGACUCCUGGAAGGCAUUUGGAGUUGUGGCUUGGAGAAGAUGGGGUGAGCAGCAGAGAGGCCAUUUAUGAGCUGGUGCUAUGCUAUGGGGAGAAUAAUGAUUGCUGAGACUAGGAUGAUGGCCACUGGAAGGGCAGGGGGACAAGGGAGAGUUUCAUUCAUUCACUGAACGUUAUGCGAACAUUAUUUGAAUGACUACUCUAUGCAGGAGUGCUGAGAUUGCAGCCAG
rnacentral:lncRNA from 1 species